AUUUCAUACAUUCACAUAUUUUCAUAUAAAUUACAUCAGAAUAUUCAUUCUAAAUAUUUGCACAUUUAAUCCAACCGAAAAGCAAGGGAACUUAUAGUCGAACACUAUUUAACGGACCAUCAUUGGGCUGAAUACUAUUCACCAAAUGCCAUCUUCCGAGCGUUACUGGACGAACGUCAGGAACGAACGUCAGGACGAACGAACGCCAUUUCUGAACGAUAUGGACGAACGUCAUUUCGGAAUGUAUGGCCGAACGUGAUUUUUGAAAACGGGACGAACGUCAUUAACCUAAGUGGACGAACGCUAUUAAGCCAAAAGGACGAACGCUAAUUUCCAAAUGAACGAACGCGAAAUACCAAAUGGACGAACGCUAAUCACCUUGGACGAACGCUCAACACACCAAUUCUUUGGACGAACGCUCAGGCCGAGAACGAACGCUACACUCAGAAUUUAAAUAAUACCGAACGCUCACAAACUAAGGCCGAACACUCACAAACUAAGGCCGAACACUCAAGAUCAAUUACUUAGGCCGAACGCUCAACUACUGAACACCAAAUUCAAUACUGGACGAGCGCUCAAAGAUCAAACCUUGACAAGACCGAACGCUUACUAUUUAUACAUAUAGAAACAAAAUCUACUAAGACCGAACGCUAAUAUCACUAAAACUCAACAAGCACGAACGCUAACGAACUCCUAACAGUAUGAGACCGAACGCGCAACUUGUACGAACGUUCAAUAACUGGACGAACGUUCUUAGUAAUUUGCACGAACGCUCAGGCCGAACACUUCUUUGGACGA
rnacentral:sRNA from 1 species